rnacentral:rRNA from 1 species
ACGCUGGCGGCACGCCUAACACAUGCAAGUCGAACGAAGUAGCAAUACUUAGUGGCAGACGGGUGAGUAACAUGUAGGUAUCUGCCCUAUGGCCUGGAAUAACACGAGGAAACUUGUGCUAAUACCGGAUAAGUCUUUACAGAGAAAGCUUUAUGCACCAUUGGAUGAGCCUGCACUUGAUUAGUUUGUUGGUGGGGUAAUGGCCUACCAAGACUGUGAUCAAUAGCUGAUUUGAGAGGAUGAUCAGCCACAUUGGGACUGAGACACGGCCCAAACUCCUACGGGAGGCAGCAGUGGGGAAUCUUGCACAAUGGAGGAAACUCUGAUGCAGCGAUGCCGCGUGAGUGAAGAAGGCCUUUGGGUUGUAAAGCUCUUUCGUCGGGGAAGAAAAUGACUGUACCCGAAUAAGAAGGUCCGGCUAACUUCGUGCCAGCAGCCGCGGUAAUACGAAGGGACCUAGCGUAGUUCGGAAUUACUGGGCUUAAAGAGUUCGUAGGUGGUUGAAAAAGUUGGUGGUGAAAUCCCAGAGCUUAACUCUGGAACUGCCAUCAAAACUUUUCAGCUAGAGUUUGAUAGAGGAAAGCAGAAUUUCUAGUGUAGAGGUGAAAUUCGUAGAUAUUAGAAAGAAUACCAAUUGCGAAGGCAGCUUUCUGGAUCAUUACUGACACUGAGGAACGAAAGCAUGGGUAGCGAAGAGGAUUAGAUACCCUCGUAGUCCAUGCCGUAAACGAUGUGUGUUAGACGUUGGAAAUUUAUUUUCAGUGUCGCAGCGAAAGCGAUAAACACACCGCCUGGGGAGUACGACCGCAAGGUUAAAACUCAAAUGAAUUGACGGGGACCCGCACAAGUAGUGGAGCAUGUGGUUUAAUUCGAAGAUACGCGCAGAACCUUACCAACACUUGACAUGUUCGUCGCGACUUUAAGAGAUUAAAGUUUUCGGUUCGGCCGGACGAAACACAGGUGCUGCAUGGCUGUCGUCAGCUCGUGUCGUGAGAUGUUGGGUUAAGUCCCGCAACGAGCGCAACCCUCACUUUUAGUUGCCAUCAUUUAGUUGGGCACUCUGAAAGAACUGCCAGUGAUAAGCUGGAGGAAGGUGGGGAUGACGUCAAGUCCUCAUGGCCCUUACGUGUUGGGCUACACACGUGCUACAAUGGUAUCUACAACAGGAAGCAAGACGGCGACGUUAAGCAAAUCCCUAAAAGAUACCUCAGUUCGGAUUGCACUCUGCAACUCGAGUGCAUGAAGCUGGAAUUACUAGUAAUCGUGGAUCAGCGUGCCACGGUGAAUGCGUUCCCGGGUCUUGUACACACCGCCCGUCA